CUGUGCUCACCCAACCAAGGCGGCCAGGGCCAGGAAGCCGGUGUGAUUCCGGUGCGGUCCCGCCACUGUGACCUGCCGUGCUCCCCUGGAGUCGGCUGGAAGCCAGAUACUGCCGGGCCGCCUUUCCGUUC
rnacentral:ncRNA from 2 species